UCAGAUCUGCUCACCAUGCAUUGGGUCCUCCCUGUCAGCUUUGUGGUGAUGUGGAGCACAGGCUCCCACUCUCGGCUGGUCCUCACGCAGCCUCCUGAAGCAUCCGAGCCUCUGGGGAGCACCAUGAAACUCUCCUGCGCGUUCAGCAGUGGAUUCAGUGUCAGCAAUUACCGUGUGUACUGGUUCCAGCAAGAGUCUGGCAGUCCCCCACGAUACCUGCUCAAUUAUUACACAGACUCCGACAAGGGCCACGGCUCCGGGGUCCCCGCUCGCUUCUCCAUCUCCAAAGACACCUCCAUGAACGCCGCCUAUUUGACCAUCACGGGAGCCCAGGCAGAAGAUGAGGCUGCAUAUCACUGCGCAGCUGCUCAAGGCAGUGGGAGCACCUGGCAGUUUGCACAGUGA